rnacentral:rRNA from 1 species
CACGUAGGGCGCAAGCGUUGUCCGGAAUUAUUGGGCGUAAAGAGCUCGUAGGUGGUUUGUUACGUCUGCUGUGAAAACCUAGGGCUUAACCCUGGGCUUGCAGUGGAUACGGGCAGACUAGAGGUAGGUAGGGGAGAAUGGAAUUCCUGGUGUAGCGGUGAAAUGCGCAGAUAUCAGGAGGAACACCGGUGGCGAAGGCGGUUAGCUGGGCAGUUGCUGACACUGAGGCGCGACAGCGUGGGGGAGCAAACAGG